UACUACGGCGACACCACCCUGAACAAGCCCGAUCCCUUCUGGUUUCAGAAGCUAAGCAGGGUCAGGCCUCGUUAGUACUUGGAUGGGAGACUACCUAGGAAGACCAGGUGCCAUAGGCG
rnacentral:rRNA from 1 species